rnacentral:lncRNA from 1 species
CUGGUGUGUAAAGAUGUCCUGGGCUCCACCUAAGGCCCUUUCCCUUCCCAGCUGGGUGUCCACGGGAAACCUCUCAAAUCUGUGUGCCUUCAGAGUACAGCAUGGAGAAGGCACCCCUUACUUCAUAGAGUUGACGUGGGGAUCCAGUGUGCUCUCAGGAACAAAACCUAGGUGACAUUAGUGUUUUGGGGUAUGAAGCAUCGAUAUUUAAUAUGGUGUAGCAGAUGUUGUGACCUUAAGAGAGAACUAACAAUUUGGCUCUUCUCUCUUUCCCACAACCUCUAAAUCAUUAUUUUUUUGCAAGUUCAGAAACCUGAUUUUUCUCCUCCAGAACACCCCCAAAUUUAGCUGAACAGAGAAAUUGUUGUUUAAUAAAUGUUUCAAGUGAGUGAUUUCACAGCUCCGGGAUGUCAAAGGACAAGCUGGAUGUGCUUAAAUAUACAAUUAAGACAGUGCAAACUACUCCUUAAGAGUAAAUGUAAUUAAUUAUACUAUACAAAAGGGGCGAACAGAAAAUGCGAUUGAGGACUUAUUUGGCCUUUGUUUUCAGCAUGUAAGAAAAUAAACCAUAAAUCAAAAUGAUCAUAGUAAAAAAAUCUAAAAUUUUCACAAAGAAUAAAAUUGAAACAGUAUACCACCAUACUUACAGUGCAGAGUUUAAGAAGAAUUCAGGUAGAAAAGUAAAAAGAAAGAAACAGAAUUGGCAUGUGUGAUACAAAAGAUUAUCAAUUACAGUGAACUACAGUAAUUCUUCUAUUUUUAGAUGAUAUCCUUAUAUUGUCAGAUGAUAUUCUUAUAGGAGACAAGAACCCCGAUUCACACCCAAAUACCAUUAUCACCUUGAAUUGUUGAAAUAAUAAGAAAUAUAGCAAAGAGGUUUCUGGUCCAAAAUGACAGCUCUUCAUUUUAGUGUCACUCAGGUUGACAAUCAAUGCAUGGGAUACAUGUCAUCACUUACCACUGCCUUUCUUGCAGAUAUGGGCCUUGGAAGUUUCCAGCAAAACAAACAAAUAAACAAACAAACAAAACCACCACUAAACAAUCUAGUGCAAUCUCAUUUCAUGAGAUGAGCUAGCAUGAAUGCCAUUUUUGUGACAGGAAAACAAUCAUAAAAGGAAUUAUUGAUUUAUGCACAAAACACGCUGUCAUUGCAAGAGGGUUAUAAAAAACUAGACUUCUUGUUAGUUGUAAAUUCAAUAUCAUAAACCAAAAAUAUUUUAUUCUACUCAUAGUGUUUUAUUUUUUAAAUUCAAUUGGACUUAUAUUUCAAAACUAAGUGAAAUCACAUGAAAAUGUGAUUUCUUGCUUUUCCUAAAAAAUCAGAAGAUUUAGCAGUUCAAAGGUCUAAUACAGCCUUUGACACAAC